rnacentral:lncRNA from 1 species
GAAUUAUUUUAUGUAGCCCGUGCAAAGAAUGUGGGGCAGUACUCAUAGCCAGCAUUAUCUCAGAUUACAUCUUAAAGAUGUGGCACAAGAAAUACCUGUGUGUGGCAUGCAGAGCAGUUGCUGCAAGGAGGAAGAUGAAGAUAAGAAUCUAUUUGAGAAUUCAGAGUUAUAGAAGUAAUGGUAUCCCACACAAGAUCUGCAGAUGGAGAUUCUGUCAGGUCUGCAAUCUGCUACAAAUUGAUUCUGAAAAGAAGAUGCUGGUUUCUAGUAAGCAUGUCACCAAGCAUUAG